UCUCCGUAGGUGAACCUGCGGAGGGAUCAUUACAGAGUUCAUGCCCUACCGGGUAGAUCUCCCACCCUAUGUUAUUAUUACUUUGUUGCUUUGGCGGGCCGUUAGGCUCCGGCCCGACUACCGGCCCCGGCUGGUAAGCGCCCGCCAGAGGACCCAAAACCCUGAAUAUUAGUGUCGUCUGAGUACUAUACAAUAGUUAAAACUUCCAACAACGGAUCUCUUGGUUCUG
rnacentral:misc_RNA from 1 species